UACGUAGGGUGCAAGCGUUAAUCGGAAUUACUGGGCGUAAAGCGUGCGCAGGCGGCUUUGCAAGACAGAUGUGAAAUCCCCGGGCUUAACCUGGGAACUGCAUUUGAGACUGCAUGGCUGGAGUGCGGCAGAGGGGGAUGGAAUUCCGCGUGUAGCAGUGAAAUGCGUAGAUAUGCGGAGGAACACCAAUGGCGAAGGCAAUCCCCUGGGCCGGCACUGACGCUCAGGCACGAAAGCGUGGGGAGCAAACAGG
rnacentral:rRNA from 1 species